CAAAUUUUUUUUUGUUUGUAAAACUAUUUAUUAAAAUUAUUUUCAUAAAUAUUAAAGGGUAUUAUAGAAAAAUAUGACACAAAAUAUAGAUUAGUCUAAAGGGACAUAAUUACUAUUUUUUUGCUCUAAAAAAACAGUUUUCCCAAUGUUUUUUUACCUGGAGAGAAUCAUAAUGUCUGAAAGAUCCAUCAUUCAGUUACUGUGCAGAUGCUCCUGCACAAACACAUAGUAAAACAAGAAAUUAUCAUCUCUUAAUUGGUGUAACAAGUUCAAUACUUUGUAUCAUUUUCUUGUGUUUGGGAGUUCACUUUUGGAGGCGAUGUGUCAGAGAUGAAACAAGAGGAGAUAGAGGUACUGUUUCACUUUGAGGCAACUUAGAACCGCCACAAACAACUUUGACCAAGCCAACAAGAUUGGAGAAGGUGGCUUUGGAUCUGUGUUCAAGGAAAGAAUAGUCAGAGGCUUGAGUGGAAAACAAGGCAGAAUAUAUGCAUAGGAAUAGCGAAAGGACUAAUGUUUCUUCAUGAGGAGUCAAUGGUUAAGAUCAUUCACAGAGAUAUCAAAGGAACCAUUGUAAUAUUAGAUAAGGACCUUAACGCUAAGAUAUCGGAUUUCGGAUUGGCUAGACUGCACGAAGAUGAGAAGAGUCACAUUAGCACCUGAGUUGCAGGAACAAUUGGAUAUAUGGCUACUGAAUAUGCAAUGAGAGGUUAUCUAACAGAAAGGCUGAUGUGUAUAGCUUUGGCAUUGUGGCAAUGGAGAUUGUUAGCGGAAAGAGCAAUGCAAAUUCCACACCUGAACCAGAGCUUGUGGCCUGGUGGUGAUUAACUUGAGGGCAAAAGCCCAAUAAGGUGAAGUCACCAGUAUUACUAUUCGAGUUCCGGCCACUGGAAAAUUAACUUUUUGGCAUCGCCAGAGACAGAGAACCGACACGUGGAAACACGUGAAUAGUUUGGACAACUUCUGUGGGACAGGAUAUCCCUGUAUAAUUCAAAAAAAAUUACACACCUGAACAUGAAUCUUGUGUUGGACUUAUAGAUUGGGUACUGACAAACUUUGUCUAAGAGACACAUAUAAUUGGUUGCUCAUUGUUUAGUACGAGCUUCUCUUCCUUCUUUUACUCCUUCAUGGUGUUUUUACAAAAAAAAUUCUAGGCUUUCUUGCUGCACAAGAAAGGAGAUUUUGCAGGAAUAAUAGAUCCAGAGCUAGAGGGCAAAUUAGAUAUAGCUGAGGCAGACAGAAUGAUCAAAGUUGGGCUUCUUUGCACAAACAUGUCUCAGACACUAAGACCAAAUAUGUCGGAAGUUGUGAAGAUGCUACAAGGAGAGACUGAGAUAAAACAGAGCAUCUCGGACCUAGUGUGUACGGAGAUGACUUGCAGUUCAAGGAAACAUUAGAGACAGGGAUGUCACCGUUUCCUUCAGAUUAUGCCAUGUCUGUUACAUCGUCUUCUCC